rnacentral:rRNA from 1 species
GAUGAACGCUGGCGGCGUGCCUAAUACAUGCAAGUCGAGCGAACGGACGAGAAGCUUGCUUCUCUGAUGUUAGCGGCGGACGGGUGAGUAACACGUGGAUAACCUACCUAUAAGACUGGGAUAACUUCGGGAAACCGGAGCUAAUACCGGAUAAUAUUUUGAACCGCAUGGUUCAAAAGUGAAAGACGGUCUUGCUGUCACUUAUAGAUGGAUCCGCGCUGCAUUAGCUAGUUGGUAAGGUAACGGCUUACCAAGGCAACGAUGCAUAGCCGACCUGAGAGGGUGGUCGGCCACACUGGAACUGAGACACGGUCCAGACUCCUGAGGGAGGCAGCAGUAGGGAAUCUUCCGCAAUGGGCGAAAGCCUGGCGGAGCAACGCCGCGUGAGUGGUGAAGGUCUUCGGAUCGUAAAACUCUGUUAUUAGGGAAGAACAUAUGUGGAAGUAACUGUGCACAUCUUGACGGUACCUAAUCAGAAAGCCACGGCUAACUACGUG